GCUCCUCCCAGGCGCGCGCGGACGAACGGUCGCGGCGCGCAGGCUGCCGGGACGCUGGAGGACUGGCGGGCGGCGGGGGAGGGGCGCCAAGAUGGCCGUUGUGAGGCGAGGUGAGCGGCGCGGUGCCAUCGAUACCGACAGGCCUUUUCCCCGCGGAUGUCCCGGCGGGGCGGAGGGUGACCGGGAGUGGCUGUUUCCCACAGUGUUAGAGGUUAGCUCUCGCCUCCCCAGGCGGGGGCCGAGGUCGAGCUAGGCCUCGGCGCCGAGUCCGGCCCGAUAGCCAUAUCGCGACAGCCCCGACACGCUGAGGUGAAUCCCGGCAGCUGCGGGCCCUGUGUCAGCGUGAGCAGGGGCUUGGCGCUUAUGCCUUUCCACAGGCAAAUCGCUUUCCUGAGGCCGAGUGACGCCCCUUGAAAAUUGAAGUCUUUGCUUCAAAUUAUGAACCACUGGGAUUCGGGGGAGGAGGGGAGCUCUUCAUUAGUGUGGUCAAAAUGAUUAAUUUCCACUUCUUUCAAACAGGUCAAGGGUUUCCCCCCGCAAAAUGUAAAUUUCAGCCCUAGGUAGACAAAGCCGGUUUUGAAAACUUUGGCUUGAACAAUUAGCGUUUGCCGAAGUCCUAAAAACAAGUUUGUGUAAUGAGGUGCACUGGGUAGUGUUAACUAUAGCUACUGCAUGCUUUUAAUACAGUUUUGGCAUUAAAAAAAUCCAGGUUUUUUAGAAAAUGGGCUGUGUUCUACCUCAAGUAAGCGUGCACAGCAUCACUCACAGUCAUUUCUAAAAUAAGGAGCAGCCUGGAUAAGUAGUCAGGCUUUUGUUGUAUAAAACACUUCACUGGAGCGUGGUCUGUAGCUGUUCUCUACAAAACUGUCCAGAAAAGUCAGCAGGAUUUGGUUCAAGGGCUGUCUGAGAGCAGGACUGGUAGUGGAGGCAUGUGUACGUGCAGACGGACUCCAGCCCGCGCAGUGGAUAGCUGCCGCCCUCCUAAAAACCAGGUUGGGUAUGUGAGCCGCUUGGAAAGACUCACGCUCACAAUCCAUACUCACCCCAAGCACAACAACUACCUUGUUGCCUGGGAGUUACCCUCCUACAUGAAAGAAUUUAUACAACAGGAAACAAGUGGCGUUACACUUUGUUUUCUUCUGGACUGUACAAGCUUUCCAAUAGGCAGAAAUCACAUGCCAACCUGCACGCAGUGGAAAGUCACUAUGCCAGGUCUCACUAAUGCAAAUGCCCCCCUUAGCAGAAUGCUGUUCUUGCUGCUGCAAGUUCGUGUGCUUCAUAUAAAUGCUUUAAAAUUGUUACUGUGCUUUUUUUUUCCUGUGCCAGAAUGCUUACUUUCAAUUUAAAAAUUCCCCCAGCAGCAAUGCAGACUUCAUUAAUCCUACCAGUGAGAUGAUCUCAGGGUGUUGGGAUUAGCAGCCUACUGUUACACCUGAAAUUAUAUAUUCAGAUGGCAUAAUAAUUACUACUUAACUGCAGUAUCCCUUUCACAGGCAUGUUGUGGGGUUUAAAUGUUUAACCUGUGUGAAAUGUCUCCUGUUGCUCAGGGGGAGGCAGCAUGUUCUAAAUAAUAGUGGCUAUCAAAUCCCGCCUUGGAACAGAUGCAGGAAUGUGGUCAGUGCCCUCUUGUGGAAAUUAUUUUUAAAAAAAAGUUUAAAAAUAAAGUUGGGGAACUGCUAUUAGGGAAUUCACUAGGGGUUGCCUGUACGGUAAAAUCAUACUACUCUAAUUACACCACUGGCAUCAUGGCAGUGUAGCUACCCAGGGUGGAUGAGGCUACGCUGGUAUAGCUUAGUGUGUGGUUAUACAGAAAGAGUUCAUAUCCAGACGCUUCUUGCGGAAUAAUAACACGUCUGCACAUGCAGUUGUGGUAUUUCAAAUUAACAUCCUGCUUCACAGUCUAAAAUAACUUUAAAAUGGAGACAUCUCCUUACUGCUGUGCAAGAAAGGAAGCACAUCAUCUUGACACAAGGCGUUACUUUUGCAUGAGGGUUUAUACCAGCGUAUAAAUACAAACACAUCUUUAACCAUUAGUCACUGCAGAACACGAUGUGUAAUGAAACCUUUAACUCCCAUUCUGCAAAAAGAAAGCAAGCAUUCAUCAAAACGCAUUUUGGCUAAGUGAAGGGACAAGUCUGUUAGGAGCCUAUAGUCCCUUUACAGAAUGUGGAGAGGAGAUGAAGCACAUCCAGGAGGAAUUUCAGAUCAUAGACAGUAUGAAUCACCUUCUAAAAUUGCUUGCCUAUUUCCACUGCAUUCCCAGAUUGGACACCUUAAUUAGGUGCCUAAAGUUAGUGGGGAUUAAUUUGGGCCCAACUGCAUAAAACUAUUAGGUGAUGAGGACAUUAACCUCAAGAAGCCCAGAGACGAAGAUGGUGAGGUGAGUAUGUCCCACUGAUUUGAUGAUAAUGAGCUGUCUUUGAGAAGAUGGAUGAAACAGCCUUUCACAGAGUUUUACUCUCUGUGAAACAGAGAUCGUAACUUUUUAAUUCCUCAUGUGUCUGAAAGAGGCUAAGAAUAUUAAUGAGUUACUUAAGAGGUACUUUAGUAGGUCAGUGCCAUCAUGUUGCAAGGGAAUUUUAUCUGUGUUUUUGCAGAAAAAAAAAAAGUACAAUGUAUUGGUUAGCUUAUAGAAAAUAUUUGGUAUGAUUUCUGUGGGUGAUCAGAACAUACUAAGGUUUUACACAGAAUGACUUUGCUUUUGAAGGGAACCGGUUUGGAAGGAUGUUAUUUACAGGAACCGGGGAGCCCUGUGCUCUACAUGAAUGCUUUCUCACAAUUUAAAAACAAAUGGUACAUUCUGGUUCCCUUGCAUGUUUCCCUUGUUCCUGCAUAGUUAGAGGGGAUGAAGUGUCAUCUGCUGUGAAAGGACAGGAUAAACAAGUUCUAGGUAAUGCCUGUGUACUUCUUUAUGUUUUGAAAGAGAUGAGUUCCUCAGUGAAAGUGACACUUCACAACAGGGAUUUCCCCUAGAUUACUUUAGAAUUCAUGUAUUUGAAAAAGUUAUUUAUGGAACCUGAACUGCAUGAUGUGAGAAAAUAGUAAGUCUUCCAGUGAACUGAGACAAAAAUUUCUACAAGCAUGCUUGACCUCUGUAGUAACAUCAGUUGUUUGAAUGUUUCUGCAGCACUUUCAGUAAAUAUUUAUUUUCUUCUCUUUAUUUUUUCCUUCUCAAUGGAAAGGAGGAACUUCGUCAGUUGUAUCCUUUUUGUACCUUUCAUCCCUCACAUGGGGGAAUCUUCAGAAAGACUGGCUGAAAUGCAUUCACAUCUUCCUGCCUAAUAAAUCUGCACAAGGCUAUUUUUGUGUUUCUGAGUUUUCCAUCAUCAGCACCAUCCAUAUGAAGUAAAACUGGAAGCAAGGCUAAAAAUUGGAUUUGUGGACUGAUGGACACAAACCCCACAUAGCACACCUCACAGACAGCUGACACAGCCGACAAGAGGUAGUAAAAGCAGCUUUCAGUAGUACUUCCUCUUCUCUCAUGUUAAUUCACCCUACCUUUACUCCUGCCAAGAUCUAAGUAACGUCCUAAGAGGAGACACCCUUGGCUUCAGAGAUUUCCAUGCUUAGAACCUAUCUAGUAAUUUUUUGCUCCACCUUCCUUCAACUGGAAAAACACAAAAACCUGGUUCUGUUUUAAUAAAAUGAGCUUCUCUGGGAACUGGAAUAUAUCCACCGUGUGUGGGUGGGUGCUCUGUUCAGAAACUGGAUGGGCAGUUCCUGUACAAGAUGCCUGGGAUGAAGUCUCUGCUUGGAGAUACUCAGAAGAUUUCAGAAGGGCUAGGGGAGAGAGGGGAGGAUAAAGAAUAUUUUGAGUAUAGAAAGACAGAUGUGGAAAUAAUGAAAUCUGCACUGAUAACUUCCUUAUAUAAAUUAUGUUGUAUUAUUUAAGGCUAAGAAAGGCAUUUGGUAUCAUAUGGUUAUCAAAAAUACAUAUGAAUGGCCAAACUUUCUGCAUUCUUGGAGCCACAUUCCAACUUCUCCACGUGGUGGUGAGCCCCAGAAUGUCCCACGCGUGUCUCCUAUAUUGCAUUAAUAACAUGCUGCUGUGCCUCAAGAGAAAAUCAUUCCUUCAGUGUGUAUGUACCUGCUAUAUAGGAAUUGUGCCUAUCCGUGGGGGUGGGUGGGCUCUUGAAGACAUCUAACUGUGAGGUACCUCCUAUAAGCUAGGCAUUUCAACUCCUGUUGCAGUCCGAGAGGGAGCUGGCAUGGUUUAAUACCAGACAAUAGUUCAUCCCACCCUGCUCGGGAGCUGCUUGGCUAGGAAGGUGCUCAUCUCCGCUGACUCCACAGGGAGCCCAGGCGACUAAUUCAGACUCAAGGCAUAACUUCAGGGUGGCUGUCAUCUUGGGAUGGCUACAGGUGAGAUGAGUCUGUCCUGAGCCUGCAAGUAAUUUCUCCCUAUUUGUACAACAGUAUGUGCCAUAUUCCCUGUCCUUCAGGGGCAUUUUGAGGAUGUAUUAAGAAUUGUGGCGCUCUCAAAUACCUUGGCAGUGGAUCCACAUAGACAGACAAAUAACUAGAGCUAAAUAUUAUCUCACAGUAUACAACAGUUAGUUUGGUAAGCAGUGAAUUAAGGGAGUCUGUUUCUUAGGAAUUUACAUCUCAAAGCUGAGCUCAUGGCCUUUCUCAGACACGUAACAAAGAGCACAGCUUUCAGACUUUUCAUCAGGUGAGCAGUAAUAGGGCCUGUCUGCUUCACAGAGCCACCUAUUUUCAAAAACUUGCAGGAAUUUGAUGUAUUGGAGUCUGCCAACCCUCUGUCAACUUGCUUAAGGCUGACUAACAGGUAUAGAAGUUGUUUGGGGAAAUGCACACAUGGACACCCCCCCCACCUCAUUUCCUUAGGCUAACGAAUGCCCCACUACAUACCAAAUAAAAUUUUUUUAAAAAGUAACUAAAGCCAAACCUGAAACAGCAAGCUUUUAUCCUAACUCUUGGUAUUUGCAAUCUCAAGUUACUUUCUGAACCCUACCAGUAGGCCAGUCAUAGUUGAACCAUUUAGUAUAAAAAGGCACAGCAGUAUAUUUUGAGGUUACUGGGAAAUGGUAACUUUAUGAAAUGGAUCCCACCUCAUUGCUAUGACAAAUCCUUAAUAACAGUUAUCAGCUGUCAUCUGUUCCUUUACAGAUUCUAUUUUAUGUAAAUGGGAUUUAUUACAUCUUUUACUUCUUGGCGACUCUUGCAAUGAUUGUUUAUAAAAGUCAAGUUUUCAGUUACCCGGAUGAUUUUUUAGCUCCUGAUCUUGCAUUGCUUUUCAUUAUGGCCAUUCUUGAAGUGCUCCGAUUAUACUUGGGU